rnacentral:rRNA from 1 species
UACGGAGGGAGCUAGCGUUGUUCGGAAUUACUGGGCGUAAAGCGCACGUAGGCGGCCGUUCAAGUCAGAGGUGAAAGCCCGGGGCUCAACCCCGGAAUAGCCUUUGAAACUAGAUGGCUUGAAUCUUGGAGAGGUCAGUGGAAUUCCGAGUGUAGAGGUGAAAUUCGUAGAUAUUCGGAAGAACACCAGUGGCGAAGGCGACUGACUGGACCAGUAUUGACGCUGAGGCGCGAAAGCGUGGGUAGCAAACAGG